AAAAAAAACCCUCCAUUUGGUAGGACCCAGUGAUGUAAUCAGUGACGUCAUACAGUCAUUUAAGCAGGAAAUGCUGGGCCUGCCCCUCCCAUACACCUGUCUGUGGCAUGAAAAUGGACAAACAAUGAACCGGAACUUUCUGCCGUCUGAACGGGGGGACAGCACUGGCUGAUAGUUGCAUCUGCAGCCGGAAUAUCUAUCCGCAGUCUGGCUGUUUUCCAUCCGGGGGAACCCCUGCGCUCGCGCCGUGGACCAUUCCUCCGUUCAUCUACAUCCAGACGAGGUGUGAACAGCGCACAGCGCCAGACGGACCAGAGUUGUUGGCUGGUGUGGAUUCACAGCGGAGCGCACAACUCGCGGACUCUGUACUACGCAACUCCGGCACAGAUGGAUAUUUACGUAGCUCUGUCGUUGUUUUUCCUUUUCACCAAACCAGCUUUUGGUUUCGGAUCAGAUCAAGAUUACCAGAUUGAUAUAAUCAGCGAACUUGACCAGGCAAAUGCCACUUAUGGAAUUACCCAAGUGGCUGGACUUCACAACGGCAGCAAAGCCUUCCUGUUCCGAGGUAACAACCAACAUUUCUCUGCAAGACGCGUAACUCAAGUUGAAGGAACAUUCAUUUUAUUCCGUGGGUCCCUGCGCGCUCCUGCGCGCCCUCAGUUUUGUUAAUUAGUGAGAGCAAACCCACGCAGCGCCACACCUUUUGGUGUCGGAGUGUGUUGAGUCAGACAACUCCGGGGAGCCUCCACUCAUAAUUACUCCACAUUUAAUUUGUCCGAGGCGGCAGAUGCUCAGAGUCAUUCUGGACACACUUGAGCGCGCAGUCUGCCUCGGAUUUCCACCACACUGUGAUUGUUUCUAAUGCUUUCUUCUGUGUAAUCUCAGCAACUGGCCGCAUAUAGCUGCUAUCAGCUGCGUUUUAUUGCGAGCAUAAUGAAGGGUGCACAGCGUGUGGUCAGACUGUUUAAAGCCCUGGAGGAAGGAAAGGGAAAAACAGAAAGGAUGAAAUGAUAUUUUUCCUGUGGUUUUGUGUUUUAAGUAGUUUUUCUUUUGAAUUGUGGGUUUUCCACUCUAUGAAAGGUUGCAGAGCAGGUUUGAAAGCAGAAGCAGAGUUGGAGAGUGGAAGGACACAAUAAGGGUAUUUCAUUCAGAGAGGAGAGAGAUGGAGAGUCUUUGGAUAUAAAGAGAGGAGCUCUCCAAAGACAAAUUGUUCCGUUAAUUAAAAGAUGUCACAACUUUUUAAAACUAAUCUUAGUUUUCUGACUUUUAAUACAACAAACUCAAAAGAUUUAUUUUGAUGUUUGAUCGUCUGCUGAAUCUGCAAACCUGACAGCCUGAUGCAAAAAUCUGAGUUUGCUCGACUCUUGGCAAAGUUAGACUGAGGCGCCGACCGACUGAAAAUGUCAGCAGCCUCUACCAGUUCUUUUUGUAAAACUCAAAAAACAGCCAUAAGCGUAACAGGGAUCUUUUGUGAACAUGUAUUUGUUUACCAUCUGUGAGAUUCAGCAGCAGUUUCAGUUGUUUUAAAUCCGACUUAUUCUUAGUCCUCGACCGUUUUUGUGGAGAUUUUAUUUUUUUAUUACAAACUCAAUGUGAUAUGACAUCUGUCUGCUACAGGUAAGAGAAAUGCUAAUGAUGAGGA